GGAGGACCGAACCGACUAACGUUGAAAAGUUAGCGGAUGACUUGUGGCUGGGGGUGAAAGGCCAAUCAAACCGGGAGAUAGCUGGUUCUCCCCGAAAUCUAUUUAGGUAGAGCCUCGGACGAAUUCCAUUGGGGGUAGAGCACUGUUAAGGCUAGGGGGUCAUCCCGACUUACCAACCCUUUGCAAACUCCGAAUACCAAUGAGAACUAUCCGGGAGACACACGGCGGGUGCUAACGUCCGUCGUGGAGAGGGAAACAACCCAGACCGCCAGCUAAGGUCCCCAAAUUCCAGUUAAGUGGGAA
rnacentral:rRNA from 1 species